AUUGAACGCUGGCGGCAGGCCUAACACAUGCAAGUCGAACGAGUGGCGGACGGGUGAGUAAUGUCUGGGAAACUGCCUGAUGGAGGGGGAUAACUACUGGAAACGGUAGCUAAUACCGCAUACCAUCAGAUGUGCCCAGAUGGGAUUAGCUUGUUGGUGGGGUAACGGCUCACCAAGGCGACGGUCCCUAGCUGGUCUGGAAGGACGACCAGCAACACUGGAACUGGGGCACGGUCCGGACUCCUACGGGCGGCAGCAGUGGGGAAUAUUGCACAAGGGGCGAAAGCCUGAUGCAGCCAUGCCGCGUGUAUGAAGCAGGCCUUCGGGUUGUAAAGUACUUUCGGCGGGGAGGCGUUACCCGCAGAAGAAGCACCGGCUAACUCCGUGCCAGCAGCCGCGGUAAUUC
rnacentral:rRNA from 1 species